rnacentral:rRNA from 1 species
AGAGUUUGAUCCUGGCUCAGAUUGAACGCUGGCGGCAGGCCUAACACAUGCAAGUCGAACGGGCGUAGCAAUACGUCAGUGGCAGACGGGUGAGUAACACGUGGGAACCUUCCUAGGGGUACGGAACAACUCAGGGAAACUUGAGCUAAUACCGUAUACGUCCGAGAGGAGAAAGAUUUAUCGCCCUUAGACGGGCCCGCGCCGGAUUAGGUAGUUGGUGGGGUAACGGCCUACCAAGCCUACGAUCCGUAGCUGAUCUGAGAGGAUGAUCAGCCACACUGGGACUGAGAGACGGCCCAGACUCCUACGGGAGGCAGCAGUGGGGAAUCUUGGACAAUGGGCGAAAGCCUGAUCCAGCCAUGCCGCGUGAGUGAAGAAGGCCUUAGGGUUGUAAAGCUCUUUUGGCAGGGACGAUAAUGACGGUACCUGCAGAAUAAGCCCCGGCAAACUUCGUGCCAGCAGCCGCGGUAAUACGAAGGGGGCUAGCGUCGUUCGGAAUUACUGGGCGUAAAGCGCACGUAGGCGGGUUGUUAAGUCAGGGGUGAAAUCCUGGAGCUCAACUCCAGAACUGCCUUUGAUACUGGCAACCUAGAGACUGGAAGAGGUUAGUGGAAUUCCCAGUGUAGAGGUGAAAUUCGUAGAUAUUGGGAAGAACACCAGUGGCGAAGGCGGCUAACUGGUCCAGCACUGACGCUGAGGUGCGAAAGCGUGGGGAGCAAACAGGAUUAGAUACCCUAGUAGUCC